UUACUGGUGACAUUAUGUUUGUUACUCUUGAUUUCAUGCAUUUAUUUAUUUAUAAAAAACAACCAACAACUGAAGUUUUUCCUCUACGUUUAUGUAUGCUUCUGCCGAAAUAUAGAAUUGUUGUUUUCUCUAUUUCUGUACCCCCUGAAUCUCAAAUGGAUGAGUGUAAUGCUUUGAAUUGUAUUGCUGUGUUAGCUGAACUAUAUAAAAAUGCUACCUUUGGCGUUUUGCUGAUUCCAAUUGAUUGUAAUUGCCUGCUCAAAGUUUGUCACUAUUUAGCUCAUUUGUUGACUGCCCCUCCAUAUUAGUUCUUUUUAAUUAAAUUAAAUGAUAAUUAUGUACCAUAUAUAUAUAUUCUAUUGUGAUGGAGUUGCUGUGAUAUUACUGUUCUUUAGUUUUUAACUGGUUCCACUGGGAGACAGUCCCAGUGGAGGUAGUAUGUGGGCAAGGCAAAAACAUAAAGAUUAGUGUUCAUAAAAGGAAAGGUAAGAAAGUAAAAGAAAAAAAGGAGUGACUGCAUGCAAAACCGGAGUGCAGUAAAAUUAGAGUAUCUUUUGUGAUGCCUAAAAGUGCUGUUUCUGGGCAGGUUGUGCUCAUUCUUUCCUCUCUUGUUCUCUAUAUCCUCUCCCCUCUCAGUGACUAUGUACCCGAAUUCUGAAAGGUUUUUUUUUUCCUUUCUCUUUCUAAUUAUUUGUUGUAUCCAAGGAGGCCCAGUUGCCAAAUUUUUUCUUUCUAAAAUCUAUAAUUGUACAAUGCUUGGAGCACUGCAUGUCAUCUUUAGGUCCUUAGGGAUGAAGAUAUAAGCGUGCAGCCGUGCACAGCCUACAGAAGAGGCUGCAGGGAAAUAGGUAUUUGCAAUCAGCAUCAGUCAAUUUCCAGUAUUUUCUGAUUCAGCCUUGAGACAAGGCUGAAAUUCAAACAGAUGACAGUGAUGGAAUCCAUGGAACUGGUCUCAUAGGAAGAAACACUUGUGCAGGGGGAAUGUGGGGAAGAGAACUGAUUAUUAGAGUUUAGCCACUAGCAUUUUACAAUUUUUGUAGGGACUGUAAAAUCUCCGAGGAGCUAAGUUUCGACACUGCAGGGAACCUUUUUCUGUAAUUGUUAUAUUUUUCAGUAAAUAAUAAUUCACAUCUUCAAUGUA